UACAGAGGGUGCGAGCGUUGUUCGGAAUACUGGGCGUAAAGCGCGCGCAGGCGGCCUUUUAAGUCUCGUGGUGAAAUGCCGGGGCUCAACCCCGUGCCCGCCGGAGAUACUGGGAGGCUGGAGACGAGUAGAGGCAAGCGGAAUUCCGGGUGUAGCGGUGGAAUGCGUAGAGAUCCGGAAGAACACCGGAGGCGAAGGCGGCUUGCUGGGCUCAUGUCUGACGCUGAGGCGCGAAAGCGUGGGGAGCGAACAGG
rnacentral:rRNA from 1 species